AGCAGGCCUGCAUCUGAGGACCGCAGGUUUCGGGGUGGGGUGUAUGGAUGGAGGAGAUCAGAGAGGUACAGUAGGGCCAGGGAAUGGAGGGAUUUGUAGGUGAGAAGGAGGAUUUUGUAUUUGAUGCAGGUCUUAAUUGGGAGCCAGUGAAGGUGGAUGAGGGUUGGGGUGGGUGAGGACCCUGGAGGCAGAGUUUUGGACAUACUGGAGCAUGUCUAAGGUUUGGCUGGGGACACCAGACAGGACUCCAUUGCAGUAGUCCAAACGGGAGCUGAUGAAAGCAUGUAUGAGGGUUUCAGAGAGUGAUGGCCGGAGUCUGUAAAUGUUUUAAAGGGGUGAUAGAAUGGAAAACCCAUUUUACCUUGUCAUAGUUAAAUAACGACAGUUCGGUGGGUAAAUAGGACAUGCUGUACAUAGAAGCUCAAAAGCCCAUUAACACGCCUUUCCUCUGCAACUCUCACAUUUUGAAACUGCCGCUGAAAACGUACAUUCAAGCCACUGACCUGAGACCAAAUCAGAAUGUAGCUAGCUAGCUAGGUCAAGUGGCUGUCAGACUUAGCACGCUGCUCUGUGUACUGUAGCGGGAUUUACAAAGAAGAAAAUUUGGCAUAUUUUCCAGGAUAUUGAAAAUGAACUAGGGUCGUGAAUGCAGUGUUCCAGGCUGUACAGGGAAUGGUGACACUUCUUAAAGUCUUCCCAAGGAACCAAACACUCGACGGGCAUGGCUGCUGUUUCUCUAUAAGGAGAUCCCUGUGAAGUUCGACACUCAAUUAUUAGUGUUAAUUUGCUCGAACCAUUUCACCUAAGACAGUUUUCAAAACGUUGGACAAUUUAAAGCAGGAUUUGCUAAGCUGCUGUUCCGUAUCUUCACAACGUACAUCACAAGGAGGACAACACACGAAAGACGCAGCAUGCCAACCAGAGGACACAACUGUCUCAUAUGACAUUAAGACCUCAUACAUGAAGCAAAGUACAUCAUCUGUAUCAUCGCAUGGUGAUGGAAAAUGCAAACACCGCACUGGUUUGAUUAUGUCUGGACUGUAGAACAACCUCACUCUUGCUGGAUUUUGUCACAGAGAGACAGCCAACUGAAAGUAAGAGAGCUAGGCCUCGGCCAAGUGAAAGCUGAAGCUAAACCUCUUUAUCUGUUUUUCUCUAGCUGUUGUCUGUAAUUGAUAGAUAUCCAGUUUGAUGAAGUAACAACUUCAAG